UGGACAGAUUAUUGUAUUCGACUGUAUUCACAGCGUGAAACAGGGGAUUACACUGUUUUUAAACGGAAAGUAAAUCAAUUAACAUAAUAGACUCCU
rnacentral:pre_miRNA from 1 species